rnacentral:lncRNA from 1 species
CAGACUCAAACCAUCCCAAGGCAGAGAUGAAUCCAAGAAGCAAGUAGAGAGAAAUAACUUCCUUUGGGCAAAGGGUCCUCAGAAAGAUUAACCCCUGACUUCUCAGCAGACAAGGCAGCAGCCCAGGGACAGGGAGAUGACAUGUUAUGCUGAGGGGAAACUGUUAACCAAAAAUACUGGCAAAAUUUCUACUUCAAACAUGAGGAGAAAUUGAGACUUUUUUCAGGUAAACAAGAGCUGAAGAUUCAUCAUUAACAAAUUUGUCAUGCAGGGAAUAUUAACAGGAAUCCUUCAGUUUGGAAUGAAAAGUCACAAGACGGUAGUAAUUCAAAUUCACAUGAAGAAGAAAAUAACAGGUAAAUAUAGAAGAUAGCACACAUGUAACCGUUUCGGUUUUUACCUAAUUUAAAACACUGGGGUGGAAGCAGGGGUUAUAGGGAAGCCCUGGUGUGCACACAUGUAGGAGCAGGGGUUAUAGGAACACCCUGGAAUCUGCACACAUGUAGGAGCAGGGGUUAUAGGAACACCCUGGUGUGCACACAUGUAGGAGCAGGGUGUACCUUGGGUCGAAGCAGAGGUUAUAGGAACCCUACAGUGCCAUUCUUCCUCUUCUUUUUACAGGAAUCUCAGGUCCCGGUUCCCCUCCUGCCUCCACCUCCUGAGUGCAGCAGUUACAGGCAUGCCCCAUCACAGCUCUUGUAUGUGAUGCUGGCGGUCAAACCCAGGCUUUGGGCAUGCUACAAAACUACAUCAUCAGUUCUCCAGUAAUAUUUUACUACAAAUAUCCUUAAAAUAAGGUCCAUUUUAAAAUGACCUUAUUAUACACGUGUAUAACCUGGCUCUGCUUAAGAUUUUAUCUUACUAUGCGGCUGGAGAGAUGGCUCAGAGGUUAAGAGCACUGGCUGCUCUCCCAGAGGACCUGGGUUCACUUCCCAGCACCCACAUGGCAGUCCACAGCUGUCGGUAACUGCAGUUUCUGGGU